GACGAACGCUGGCGGCGUGCUUAACACAUGCAAGUCGAACGGAAAGGCCCUGCUUUUGUGGGGUGCUCGAGUGGCGAACGGGUGAGUAACACGUGAGUAACCUGCCCUUGACUUUGGGAUAACUUCAGGAAACUGGGGCUAAUACCGGAUAGGAGCUCCUGCUGCAUGGUGGGGGUUGGAAAGUUCCGGCGGUUGGGGAUGGACUCGCGGCUUAUCAGCUUGUUGGUGGGGUAGUGGCUUACCAAGGCUUUGACGGGUAGCCGGCCUGAGAGGGUGACCGGCCACAUUGGGACUGAGAUACGGCCCAGACUCCUACGGGAGGCAGCAGUGGGGAAUAUUGCACAAUGGGCGGAAGCCUGAUGCAGCAACGCCGCGUGCGGGAUGACGGCCUUCGGGUUGUAAACCGCUUUCGCCUGUGACGAAGCGUGAGUGACGGUAAUGGGUAAAGAAGCACCGGCUAACUACGUGCCAGCAGCCGCGGUGAUACGUAGGGUGCGAGCGUUGUCCGGAUUUAUUGGGCGUAAAGGGCUCGUAGGUGGUUGAUCGCGUCGGAAGUGUAAUCUUGGGGCUUAACCCUGAGCGUGCUUUCGAUACGGGUUGACUUGAGGAAGGUAGGGGAGAAUGGAAUUCCUGGUGGAGCGGUGGAAUGCGCAGAUAUCAGGAGGAACACCAGUGGCGAAGGCGGUUCUCUGGGCCUUCCCUGACGCUGAGGAGCGAAAGCGUGGGGAGCGAACAGGCUUAGAUACCCUGGUAGUCCACGCUGUAAACGGUGGGUACUAGGUGUGGGGUCCAUUCCACGGGUUCCGUGCCGUAGCUAACGCUUUAAGUACCCCGCCUGGGGAGUACGGCCGCAAGGCUAAAACUCAAAGGAAUUGACGGGGCCCCGCACAAGCGGCGGAGCAUGCGGAUUAAUUCGAUGCAACGCGUAGAACCUUACCUGGGUUUGACAUGGAUCGGGAGUGCUCAGAGAUGGGUGUGCCUCUUUUGGGGUCGGUUCACAGGUGGUGCAUGGCUGACGUCAGCUCGUGUCGUGAGAUGUUGGGUUAAGUCCCGCAACGAGCGCAACCCUUGUUCACUGUUGCCAGCACGUUAUGGUGGGGACUCAGUGGAGACCGCCGGGGUCAACUCGGAGGAAGGUGGGGAUGACGUCAAGUCAUCAUGCCCCUUAUGUCCAGGGCUUCACGCAUGCUACAAUGGCUGGUACAGAGAGUGGCGAGCCUGUGAGGGUGAGCGAAUCUCGGAAAGCCGGUCUCAGUUCGGAUUGGGGUCUGCAACUCGACCUCAUGAAGUCGGAGUCGCUAGUAAUCGCAGAUCAGCAACGCUGCGGUGAAUACGUUCCCGGG
rnacentral:rRNA from 1 species